rnacentral:ncRNA from 1 species
UUUUACAGCUUCUAAGGUAACUAUUUGAGGGUCCAUUAGGGAGAAAUCCCUAAUGCAAAUCGGGUGAAUUGCUGGAACUCCCUUAGAGCCAUUCUUCCUACAACAUAACCGGAAACGGUAGGUGUGAAAGGUUGAAAAAAGAAUGGAUUGGAUAAUCAGCAGCCAAGCUCCUGUGCCGAAAGGCUGGAGAAGGUUCAACGACUAAGACGUACCACCUAAAGCUUAUGCCAUGGUGAUGAGGUCUGUAGGAAGUGAGGUCUUCCGAAGUGCCCGACAACCAAGAAUGUUUUGGUUGAAGAUAUAGUCUGGCAAUUACUGAAAGGUAAUU